UACGUAGGCAGCGAGCGUUGUUCGGAAUUACUGGGCGUAAAGAGUGUGUAGGCGGUGCUCUAAGUUCGGUGUGAAAUCUCCUGCUUAACUGGGAGGGUGCGCCGGAAACUGGAGUGCUUGAGCGUGGGAGAGGAAAGCGGAAGUUCCUGGAUGUAGCGGUGAAAUGCGUAGAUAUCAGGAGGAACACCUGUGGUGUAGACGGCUUUCUGGACCAUUGCUGACGCUGAGACACGAAAGCGUGGGUAGCAAACAGG
rnacentral:rRNA from 1 species